UACGUAGGGGGCAAGCGUUGUCCGGAAUUAUUGGGCGUAAAGAGCGCGCAGGCGGUUUGGUAAGUCGGAUGUGAAAACCCGGGGCUCAACCCCGGGCGUGCAUCUCGAUACUGCCCGACUAGAGGUAGGUAGGGGAGAUCGGAAUUCCUGGUGUAGCGGUGAAAUGCGCAGAUAUCAGGAGGAACACCGGUGGCGAAGGCGGAUCUCUGGGCCUUACCUGACGCUCAGGCGCGAAAGCUAGGGGAGCGAACAGG
rnacentral:rRNA from 1 species